rnacentral:rRNA from 1 species
AUGUUCUCCCCAUGUGCCUUCCCCAGUUACCUCAACAACAUGACCCAAGGAAACAAGUCUGAAGAACCACUCGUUGGAUGUGAUGGAGGAAUCUUGGAAGAACAGGAAAUUCAAGCCGGCCACAGGAUAAGAGGGCCUGAGAUGGGCAACCCAGUGGACAAAUACUUUAAGAGGAUGAAUGCUUCACAGUGUGCUCUGCAAGUGCUGUUGACUCAACGCUGGUUCAGGGAACUUGAUGAAUGGUUGGAUUCUCAGGGAUCAGCUUGCGAUGCAUGCUGCAAAUCACUACCUUACUGGUGUCCAGCAUCAGCUCUGUGUUUUGAUAUUAAGGCAGUGGUAAACUAUGCUUCCUAUAGUGGUGAUGGAGAAGGUGCUUCCAUGGCUGUAGAUUCCUGCUUACGAGCUUUGGACGGUUUCUAUAAACUACUGAAGCAGUCACCUCUGAGUGAUCCAUCAACAACUGAAGCCAUGAAGCGUCAAAUCAGGGUUGUCCUUGCUGCUCUAGACAGUAUCUUGGAAUUUGUACCGCUAAACCGUAUGCCAAGGAGCAUACAGAAGGUGCUUGUAGAUGUCUGCCUGGAACGAAAAGAAAAGACACUAGUAUGUGAACAUUUGUAG